UCGGAGGAAAAGAAACCUACAGGGAUUGCCUUAGUAGCGGCGAGUGAAGCGGCAAAAGCUCAAAUUUGAAAUCUGGCACUUUCAGUGUCCGAGUUGUAAUUUGAAGAAGGUAUCUUUGGGUCUGGCUCUUGUCUAUGUUUCUUGGAACAGAACGUCACAGAGGGUGAGAAUCCCGUGCGAUGAGAUGUCCCAGACCUAUGUAAAGUUCCUUCGAAGAGUCGAGUUGUUUGGGAAUGCAGCUCUAAGUGGGUGGUAAAUUCCAUCUAAAGCUAAAUAUUGGCGAGAGACCGAUAGCGAACAAGUACAGUGAUGGAAAGAUGAAAAGAACUUUGAAAAGAGAGUGAAAAAGUACGUGAAAUUGUUGAAAGGGAAGGGCUUGAGAUCAGACUUGGUAUUUUGUAUGUUACUCUCUCGGGGGUGGCCUCUACAGUUUACCGGGCCAGCAUCAGUUUGAGCGGUAGGAUAAGUGCAAAGAAAUGUGGCACUGCUUCGGUAGUGUGUUAUAGUCUUUGUCGAUACUGCCAGCUUAGACUGAGGACUGCGGCUUCGGCCUAGGAUGUUGGCAUAAUGAUCUUAAGUCGCCCGUCUU
rnacentral:rRNA from 1 species